GAUGAACGCUGGCGGCGUGCCUAAUACAUGCAAGUCGAGCGAACAGACGAGGAGCUUGCUCCUCUGACGUUAGCGGCGGACGGGUGAGUAACACGUGGAUAACCUACCUAUAAGACUGGGAUAACUUCGGGAAGCCGGAGCUAAUACCGGAUAAUAUAUUGAACCGCAUGGUUCAAUAGUGAAAGACGGUUUUGCUGUCACUUAUAGAUGGAUCCGCGCCGCAUUAGCUAGUUGGUAAGGUAACGGCUUACCAAGGCAACGAUGCGUAGCCGACCUGAGAGGGGGAUCGGCCACACUGGAACGGAGACACGGUCCAGACUCCUACGGGAGGCAGCAGUAGGGAAUCUUCCGCAAUGGGCGAAAGCCUGACGGAGCAACGCCGCGUGAGUGAUGAAGGUCUUCGGAUCGUAAAACUCUGUUAUUAGGGAAGAACAAAUGUGUAAGUAACUAUGCACGUCUUGACGGUACCUAAUCAGAAAGCCACGGCUAACUACGUG
rnacentral:rRNA from 1 species